rnacentral:lncRNA from 1 species
UGCGUCCCCCAGACAAGUCCCCAGGCUCUUGUUACCUGUCGGCGGCGCAGGCCGCACCUGGGAGGCCCCUCCUCCUACACCCUCUGGAGCUUCAGUCUGGGCAGAGGGGACCCCUGGAGUGUGCCCAGCCUUGGGGGGCGGGGAAGCUGCGCACCCCAGAGGUUCACCAGCGUCAGCUCAGACGGGCCAGCGUCCACACACAGGGCCGGGGUCCCCCACACAGUGAGGCACUCCGCCUCGAUGGGACUGUAUAUUGACCGGGCUGUGCCAGGGCAGCUUGGGUGGAGGGGCCUUUGUAUGCUCUGUGCUCCCAAAGCCCCUGUUCUUAGUGGGGAGAGAAAAGGGACUGAUUCAAAACAGGAUGGGGAGGUAGAGAGCUGAGAGGGGACACAAGGGCUCUCUGGUAUUGAUGCCUAAACCCUUGCGGCAGGCAGAUUGGGGUCAGCGGGGCGGGGGCUGGGUGAGCUGGGCGGCAGGCUGGGGCCCUGUAGGUCAGCUUGGGGGGGAGGGCAGAACACCAGCUGGAGUCCCCCUGCUUCCUUACACCCUGGUUUCUGAGGACACCCGAGGCUCAGAUCUGCCCUUGCCCAAAGGAGCCUCUAUCUUUGGAGGAGGCCAACAGGCUGCGGUGCUGGGGGCACGUGGGCUGGGUGUCCCCCCUGGAGCCCACCUGCCCACAAUCUCUCCGAGGCAGGAUCUCCUCAGCCCCUCGAGCAUCACAUCCCACCCACCUCCUCCACUGCAGGGGCCUAGGAGGCCACUCUCCCCAGACAGGGGACAGCUUUGGCCUCUGGUGGCUUUCAACCUCUCUGGAAGAGGACAGCUAGGUAGGCCUGCGGUCAGCCUGACCCGACCUGUGUGGAUGGGGCUGGGUGGGUGGGUUUCACUGGGAUCUAGGGGAGAGUGAUGCCUGGAGGGGUAGGAGCCCCCUCCAGGUCCCUCCCCAGCUCAUCCUGGACCUGGUUUCGCUGGAAGUGGAAAUGGAUUCAGAUCUCCAUGACUGAGGCUUCUGGCCAAAGGCCAAUGCCAACAUCCUGCCCCACCCCCCAGCACCUAAAAAACAGAAAUAGACCUGUCUGCACACUUUAGAAAGGCCCCAGCAAAGGCGUGUGGGACGCCAAGACGCUGGAGGAGGGAGAGAAAUGGCCAGGCUGGGCCCUCAGCCCAGAGAACGCCACGAACCUCCGGGAGCAGGUGCUGAGAUCCCUCUGCCAGUAAAGCCCCACCCCACAGUCUCCCACAGCCUCAGGUCACCUGGGUGGGGUCUCUGCUGUCCAAAGCCCCCUCAGGCCUCUGUGCAGCUGAUGGGACGGGUGCUGCUGGCAGUCUUCCCCAAGCCUCAAGGACCCCCACCUGCACCCCUACAUAGCAGUGUCCCCCCAACCCGGGAGCACCGCGGGGUUUAGGCACAGGUUCACAACUGCAGGGACACUCGCUGCGGGCUGUUCG